CUUCACACUGACAAAGUCAAACAAAAUUCAAGAGUACAAGACUUUGGUACGGUAAUUUGAAGGUAUUACACGGUCCAAUCAACGACGGGAUUGCAACAUCUCCCAACCAAUCAAAAGUCUCCGUGUUGCCCUGCAUGCCUUCUUUUUUGGAUCCUUACCUUAGCUAGCUGUCUACAUAAAUGCGGAAUUGCAUUUUCUGCCAACCUAUCCAAGCAUAGUAAGAACGUUUAUACGAUGUAUAUCUUUGAAACAAUGAAACAGUGGAUGUCUACAGUAGGAAAACGUUUCAUGAACACUUUCGUCUUCAUCUAGCGGCAGUUGUCUCUGCCAUGUCUCAUUGCAACAAUUCCCAAUGGAUCUGGCGUAGUUGGGAUAAGAAUCAGUUUUAUUGGCAAGUAUGUUUCACAACACACAAGGAAUUAUUUCUGGUCCAUUGGUGCAAUGUUUUUUAUAAAAGGAAUAAGGGAAAUAAAAACAAAUAAGAACAGUGGACUGAGCAUAAAUACAGUAGACUGAACAUUAAUUAAUUACAAAUAAUGUUAGGUGCAAGAUUUGUCCAGUUGAGGGUUGUGUGUGUAUUUGGGGAGGUGUGCUAGAUUUGUCAAGUUCAGGGUUGUGUGUCUAUGUGGGGAAUGGGAUAUAGUCUUUGAUUCUGGGGGCAUGUUCACAAGGCCUACUGCUAUAGAAAAUACACUGUUCUGGUGGUGAAAGGUUUUGGUCCUGAUAGACCUAAACCUUCUGCCAGAUGGGAGAGCUCUGAAUUGUCCAUUUCCAGGAUGAGAGGGAUCAGCCCCAAUCAUUUAAGCUUUCCACUGUGUCCUGGAGGUCUGAUUAGGUCGUGUAGAGAUGGCAGAUUGUAGCCAGUAACCUCUCUGGAGUGUGGAUGAUGUUAAGGUUAGUGGCAGGCUUUCCUCGUAAUCAUAAAGAUGUUAUGCUUUUUUCACACUGCUCGUCCAUUAAGCAAGUUGAAUGUAGAUUAACACGUUUGAAAGCAAGACCACUAAUCCAACGUCCUCACUAUAGCACACUGGAACCAGAAAAUCCCUGUUUACAGUGCCUACCCUUCCUGAGCAAGGCUUGACAUUUUGCGUGGCCCAUGGGGCUUCCAAGCCAUUUGUCAGCUAGCUGCACAGUCAAGACUUGAACUUGGUGUUCAACCUGUUGCUAUUAAAGUGUGCCUUAGCUUUCAGCGCCAG
ensembl:lncRNA